rnacentral:lncRNA from 1 species
UUUUUUUCAGAGCUGGGGACCGAACCCAGGGCCUUGCGCUUCCUAGGCAAGUGCUCUACCACUGAGCUAAAUCCCCAACCCAAGAGGCUUCUUGAGGGAAAACGCUGCAGGGGAGGUCGGGACCACACCAGUAAGGCACAGACAUGGUGGACAGAGGUGUGGCAUGGUGUAAGAGAGUCAGGGUAUGGCAUGAUGGGAUCCAGGGAAACCAUGGUGCCUCGCACAGGGCAGCAUGGAGCAGCAGCUGCCUAACGUCUGCUACGUGAAAUUCUAUUACGAUGGAUGGCUGUGCCCCAGUCUGUUGAAAAUCCAAACCUUCAAACCAGCAUGCGUGGAGGUAGACUUCAUGUCCCUGCUUGGCUCCAGGACUCAGGCUACACCUCACCACGUAACUCCUAAGCCUUCUGUGGUGGUUUGUGUAUGCUUGGCCCAGGGAGUGGCACUGUUAGGAGGUGUGGCCUUGCUGGAGUAGGUGUGGCCUCGUGGGUGUGGGCUUUAAUACUCUUGACCUAUCUGUCUGGGAGCCAGUAUUCUGCUAGCAGCCUUCAGAUGAAGAUGUAGAACUCGCAGCUUCUCCUGCACCAUGCCUGCCUGGAUGCUGCCAUGUUUCUGCCUUGAUGAUAAUGGACUGAACCUCUGACCCUGUAAGCCAGCCCCAAUUAAAUGUUGUCCUUUAUAA